CGUCGCCAUCAAUCGAUCUCCCGAGCAAGUGACCUCCCUCCCCGAUCUACUCGUUGGCUAUGGCGGACGAGCCGGAGGGGCGAGGGGAGGGGGAGCGUGGACGCCAACUGGCGCCCCACCCAAGACUCAGAUCCCGCCACCGCGGCCGCCGGAGGCGGGGUUGACCCGAACGCACCGGCGCCCCACCGCCGGAGGCGACUAGCGCUCCGGGCUCCAUCCCGACGCCCGCGCUAGGAUCGUCAGUAAGAUGUAAGCGGCGACCUCAAUCUUUGAUUUGAUCCUUCAUCCCCUUGAUUUAUUGGAGCACUCCUUCCAGAUACAGUCGCACUCCUCAUCCAGCUCCAUGUCUCCUGGUGCGGCGGCACAGUGGGAGGAUGUGAACGCGCGGCCGCCCAGGGGUGGUGGUGGUGACCUGCCUGCUCAUCCCUCGUCCUCAUCACCGGCCUCUCCGAGGUCGCUGCUGGGGCAAUCUCCAUCGGCCCUUGAGGAUGGAGUAGGAGGAUGAGCAGCAGCAAAUGAGCCUGAUGGUGAAGAAGCACCUGAUGACCAGAACUCGUUCAAGAGCUCUUUUGUCCUUCCAAAACAGGGAUGCUGCGCUCGCUACUUACAUGUUUUCUGAUGCCGCAACAAAGGACUAUAUGUGGUUUCUUCAGUGGGACUGUUGCUGUCGCUCCUCAUGUUCAAUAACAUUUCAGCAUUGGACCUGCUAGUCACCCAAGCCAAGCCUCGCAUCGCUUCAACAAAGCGAUACUUCUUCCAAUCAACCCCUACUUCGGCUCUGCUCUUUUUUCCAUCUUCUCUUAUUUAAGCUAAGAAAGAUUCUGAGUUUGCAUCCAUCUCAUUACACUAGCUAGCACAAUAUAUUAGUUGAGGCAACUCUACUACAUAUCAAUUUCCCCUACUGGAUUGGUUCUAUAUUUUUAAAGUUGUUUCGUGGUGCAUGAGCCCAACCUGAAGAAAUAUAGGCUUAUGAUGACUAUUUUCCUUCUUAAGUAAUCAUAGUUGUUGGCUUCGGUAGCUUGCUGAAUAUGCUUUAGUUAUAUAUAGAAAUGACGUGCCUUCUAUGCUUAAAUGAUUGUUUGGCUCUAUAUAAUUGUUGACAUGAAUAUCUUGACUUCCCAAACAAGUAUAGGACUGUACCUAUGCAUACAGAUUAUCCUAACAAAACUGAAAAUAAAAAUUGAAGCAUGAAAUAAGCAAUAAGUGGCUGAUUUUUAUUUGCAUGUUAAGCGGAAAGUUGUAGCCAAGGCUUAUAUAUUACGAAAUAUUGUCACACCUCUGAGCUUCUACUGUUGUUAGGGACAUCGUAGUGUGAUCUUCAUGAUUUUUCGCUUGAAGAUGUACUGAUUCAUUAGUCAAGCAGAGACCGAAGUCAUCUUUUGCUACUGCUAGCUCUAUGGAUGUUUAUUUACGUGCAACUUCUGCCAGCUCUAACUUGGUUAUAUAGUAGUUCAAUUCAGUCAAUCUGUUGGAACUAGUUUGUCUAUUACUUGUAUCCAGAUUUUAUAUCCUGCCCUAUGCCAUUGUCGACUUGCUUAGGUACAUAAUUGUUAUGUCUUGCAAUCUGGUAUUGAUGAUUGUCAAUGUAUUCAUUUAUACCUUUCUAGUGUACCUUGUAUGUGACCCAGCUGAUCUGUAUAUCAAUGCUCUGUUUCCAAUAGAUGUAUGCUGAUGCCUGAUGGCUUAUUCCUUAAAACUUCACUGUUGCAGUAGCAUUUUUCCUUAGUGCAUAGAUGUAUGAGCGAUCACUUAUGCUUGAAACCUUGCUCUCUUUCCCAGGAACCAUCGUGGUCUGCGUCACUACUGGGGCAGGAGAGGAAAGACUGUUGGUGUCUCCAGGAAGCGAUAAACUGCUU